AUGACCUACUGUUCUAAUUUUAUUAAUAUUGCUCAUAAAAUAUUGACUCCUUAUGCUUUAGCUGAAUUAACAAUAUAAUGAUAAAUAAACCUGUAUGUGAUUACCACACCUACCAUUAUCCUAUAGUCCUUAUCAUUAUCAAUGAUAACACGUCAUGUGUUAAUUCGGCUCAUAUAAAGUGAUCUGCUGGUUCAAGACACACGUAAACAAUAAUUAUGGUGUCUAAAACUUUUAUCUUUUACCUUUAUGAUUAAACGAGAAAAACUAUCAAAUUUCCUACCUGUUGUGAAGUUCAAAGAGUGAUAGAUAUAAUAUAAUAUAACAGUGAUAUCUGAAGUGAUUUUAAAGAUGAUCAAAUAGUUAUAUAGGUGAUUAAUUAACCUAAAUAUGUGACUAAGAAGAAGUGAAUAUCUUAAUGGACUGUAAACGGAGGGUUCUUAUAUUUGUAACACUAACACCAGCUAAAGUAGGUAGUAAUGCUACAGCGACGUGAUGAUUCUUUUACGGAUUUUGGACUGCUUCUGCUGAUUUGGUUUGGCGCAUGCGCAAAUGUUGG
rnacentral:lncRNA from 1 species